rnacentral:rRNA from 1 species
AGUGAACGCUGGCGGUAGGCCUAACACAUGCAAGUCGAACGGCAGCACAGAGGAGCUUGCUCCUUGGGUGGCGAGUGGCGGACGGGUGAGGAAUACAUCGGAAUCUACUCUGUCGUGGGGGAUAACGUAGGGAAACUUACGCUAAUACCGCAUACGACCUACGGGUGAAAGCAGGGGAUCUUCGGACCUUGCGCGAUUGAAUGAGCCGGUGUCGGAUUAGCUAGUUGGCGGGGUAAAGGCCCACCAAGGCGACGAUCCGUAGCUGGUCUGAGAGGAUGAUCAGCCACACUGGAAAUGAGAAAAGGUACAGACUCCUUCGGGAGGCAGCAGUGGGGAAUAUUGGAAAAUGGGCGCAAGCCUGAUCCAGCCAUACCGCGUGGAUGAAGAAGGCCUUCGGGUUGUAAAGCCAUGUUGUUGGGAAAGAAAUCCAUCUGGUUAAUACCCGGGUGGGAUGACGGUACCCAAAGAAUAAGCACCGGCUAACUUCGUGCCAGCCGCCGCCGUAA